rnacentral:rRNA from 1 species
UACGUAGGGUGCAAGCGUUAAUCGGAAUUACUGGCGUAAGCGUGCGCAGGCGGCUUUGCAAGACAGAUGUGAAAUCCCCGGGCUCAACCUGGGAACUGCAUUUGUGACUGCAUGGCUAGAGUACGGUAGAGGGGGAUGGAAUUCCGCGUGUAGCAGUGAAAUGCGUAGAUAUGCGGAGGAACACCCGUGGCGAAGGCGGCUCUCUGGAACGCAACUGACGCUGAGACGCGAAAGCGUGGGGAGCAAACAGG